rnacentral:lncRNA from 1 species
CAAGGAUUACAAUGGUAUAAUACUAUUUUUGAAAUCCAAUUUAUAGGUUGCUGGCAAUCUGAGUUGUAUUAUGGGAAAAGAAACUGAUAUCAUGUUUAAAGCAGCCCCAAAUUUGUAUGUGUGUGAUACAUAUUCGAUCACCUUAAUUUAUUUUGCAUUCUAUGCGUAAAUCAACCCAUUCAAUGAUGAAUCAAAAUGUCCAACAAAUACAACUAGAUUGCUUCUACUUGAUCACAUCUGCUACAGUGAUUAAGAUGGAAAGAAUGAUCAUGGAUCUGAUCAACUAAAGUUUGCAUCUCUAACUCAAACUUCUAUCUCAUACUAUAUAUAAUUAUGCUACUCCUUGCUAUGCUCCUGUGGAAAAAAAUUACAUAUUUUUAACCCAUUAGCUAACAUCUUGGUUUAUCAAGCAAACUCCAUCCUUGCCCAACUUUACUUUGGCCACGUAUCCAUCACUAUUUUAGAGGUGUCUUCUCAAAUCUGAGAUACAGCCUCAGAAAGUCAUCAGGAUAUAUAUAAAAUGAAACUCUAAUGAAAGUAUCAACAAACAAUUUUAACUAAAACUAAAAACACAUGGCUAUCAGGGACUCCAGAAAACUUCACACAAAAGAGAAUCACCUCUGUUGCUUCCUUCUUAGCAGAAGGGGCUUUCUUCUUCCUACCAAUCUCAACACCAUAGUGCUGAAGGUACCACUGCUUGAAUGGGGCAGCAUCAACCUGAAUAAUGGCACUCUUCACAAGGGUCUGUGUCCUCACAAGUUCGUUGUUUGAAGCAUUGUAGACCACAUCAAGGAUACGGGUUUUGCGAGUCACUGCCUCGCUCCCCCAUGAGUAAUUGCCAUGAUCCAAUCGGAGGGCCCUCCACUUCACGUUGCCUCCUCGAACUCGAAUCCUCCUCACGGUCUUGUUGCUCGAAAGCUUCGUACUGGCAGGCUGUCUUCCCAACUCGUACCUUUCGAGGCAAGACUAACAUUACAUCACGGCAAAACCAUCUCAAACAUAAUUAUCGGGAAAAAAACGAGUAAAAUACAAAUAGAAAGGAAAAAGAGAAACAUAUUAGUGGAUUCAAACAAAAUCCCCAACUUUUCAAGAGAAACCACCGAAAGCCUAACAGCAAAGAAUUUUCAGAGGCGCAGAGAUUCAAACAACGGAGGCUGGGGUGACUCGAUCGUACAUCCAUGAGAGCAAAAGUCCUAAUCUUUUCACAAUAUUAUGAAACAAAGAACUAACUUGUGCAGGAAAGCGAAUGCUACAAAUAAUCAACGCUUAAAGUGGACACAAACAGCUUCAAGCGAAAAUGUUUUGCAAGAAAAUAGAACAGAUUACAAAGAAGGAACUCACUUUCUCUUCUUCCGCCACGCCUUCUUCUUCCCUCCGGUGGCCCGCCUCUUGUGCAUGGAGUCUCGCGAGAUACCUGCGAGCAGGAGAGCAACGCCAUGGAUGGAAGUUGGGUAAAAGGAAAAACCCGAUCAGAUAUCAGCGUUUCCUACCGGAAUCGAGAAUCUAAGGUUCCGAUCCUUACCCAUGUUGGCCGGCGGUGGUGAGAAACACUGCGCCCUCUUCUUCUCUCCCGAAGUCCGCCGCCGCACUCCUCGGUUUCAGAGAUCUUCUCAGCAGCCCAAACCCUAGCCUUUUAUAUAGCGGGCAGAAUACGUUGGCUGCGAUGUAAUUAUAGCAAUUCCCAGGAGGGGCGCUAAAUCAGCCGUCGGAUCAAAACGUGUACGGCGUGAUCUUGAACUUCAACCCGAACCGUGAUGGGAGUUCGCAAGGUCGAACGAACCGGCCGGACUCAUCGAUCAAUGCAGCUAUCUGGUUUGGAAUUGGCUAACCCAAUUUGAUUGUUUGAAUGCAGCUAUAAUUGAAAUCAUUCUUCAUUUAAGUAAAAAAAUUUCUGAAUACUCUAUACAUAUAAUUCUUUGAAUUUAUAAGACUAUAUAGGAAUUCAAUGUUUUUGGGACCUUAGAAAUAUAUAUAUUUUUUUUAUUUAUUUAUGUUACUAGACUGUGUGUUGCUAAGACACCUCCUUUUAGUUUAUGGUUAACAAACAUAAACUGGUCAUUUGUAGCAUUCAUUAUUUUUCUUUAUAAGUGUAGAUAGCGUGAAUGAUGGUGGUGAAAGUAUUUUUGCUAUAUUAAAGUAUAUUAUAAUUGUCUGAUUAGAAUAUUCAUUCGGAGUUUAUUAUUAUGCAUGUUGCUUUCAUAUACAAGACCAUGUAUGAGCCCACUAUUACUAGCUCGAGAUAGAUCAAGUGACAACGGUUUAAGCUGGAUUAGUAUUCACUUUAAAAUUAGUGCCAUCAAAUAUGAUGCAGAUUGAUUGACAAGGCAAAAGGUCAAAAGUCACAACCACUAAUUAUAAAGAGGAUAUUUGGCUUGGGAUGAUUCAUAUUAUUUUAUGUGAUUGUUAGAAAUCAAAUAAUGAUGAGUAAGAGUCAAACUUAACAUUAUUUAAUGUGCCUAAACAAUUACAUAGCAAGAAAAAGAUGCCAUGACCCUGCAGACCAAGUGACUGGAAAUAAUUCCUGUGCAGUACAGAGCUUGAUUAGCCUGUUCCAACAGGAUACAGGGUCAAAUGCCUUACAGUACAACACAAAACCCGAGUAGCGGACAGAUGCUCGAAGAACCAACACCAAAUAACAACAAAUGCAGAAAACAACAAAUGCAAUGGCACCGAAGCAGACAAGCUAAUAAUAAUAAGUUCGUGCCUGAUUAAAGAUCAGGCAACCAUAUCCAACACAAAAAUUAGCUGUUGCCCCUAAAAAGCAUUAAUGAGAUGUGCAUAUUAACGCAAGCAUGCAACUUUCCCCAAGAACAGAGCAGCCUUCCCAAAACCUUUUCUUCGUGGUCCCCUGAACAUUGAACGAACAUCUAAAAGACAGUAAAGAACGAAGCAAGCAGAUAGCUCAUGACAUCUGUAAACCAUAACUAAAAAGAAAACGAAGGUUAUGUGAUCAGUGUCGAAUGGAUAUCACAUGGAACAUUAAUACUAUCAUCAAAAAUAUGAUGCGGUCGCCCCCUGUAAAAGUUGAGUCUUUCUAGUUUCCUGCAAAAGAAAAGGGGCUAAAGCAUCUCAAAUAUAAUAUCAACCGUCGGUGGCCGUGAGAAGCUUCGGCGGCAACCGUGACAACCGCCAUCCUAAAUAACAAGUCUUCAAGAUUAAGCAUAGAUGAGUUAGCGUAAACUGCUUCGCUACUGCUAAUGCCUCUAUUAGUUUUAAGUCCAGCUAUAAAUGCAUCCCUAAGGAAGUGAGAGGUUAGAGUCGACGGCCCGGAUCAAGCCUCGGGCUCGGGGCUCUUCUUCCCGACGGCCGCGAUGGCCCAGACGACACCGAACGGGUCCUUCACCUUCCCGAGAAGGCUGCCUUCCUCCUCCAACACCUCGCUCAUGACCUCCGCACCGGCAGCCACCGCCUUCUUCACGGCCGCGUCCACGUCCUCCGCCUCCAGCCGGAACGCGAUCCCACCGCCUCCAGCGGCCGCGGCACUCUCCUCUCCUCUGCCAUCACCACCGAAAUCACCAACCUAAUGAGAUCCCUAAAGAUCGGGGAGCUAGGGUUGAGUUGGGGGAAUGCCAGGGAUUACGCAGCGUCGAAGCAGUCGCUGACGAGGAUGAAGGAGGAGCCGAUCUUGAGCUCGGCGGAGAGGAUGAGGGGGCACUCCUGUUCCGCCUUGCGCUUCGGGUGCGUCACCCUCCCGAUCUCCUCCGCCCCGAAUGCCGCCUUGUAGAACUGCACAGCCGCCUCCGCCUUCAUCCCCGGCACAACCAGCUGCGGCUUGAAACCCAGCAACGCCACAUCCGCCAUCGCCUCGAGGAAGAAGAACGAUACCGAACCCUAGAAGAGAACGUGAAGGACAAAGCAGCGGCAGCGAAGUGAGAAGCAAAGAGGCUUCACAGGUCGGAAGUAUUUAUAGCAGAUGAAGGCCAUGAAACCGUUGGAAUACUUUCCAUUAAUUUAAUCGUCAUUCCACAACCGCCCAUGCUUUUAGCGUAAACUACGAGCCUGCCAUUCACCGAUUUGAACGGCUUCGCCUCAUGCUUUUCGUCCCUCCCGAGGCGUCCUCGUACACCGUAUCAAAAGCCGGUGGACUCGAAGGCAGCGAUGCUAGAUCUGAACCGUUCGUCGGAGUCUGUGCAAGUGAUCGGACGGACCGCAUUAGUGUCGGUCAAUGAAAGCGACCCGCGGCACGGAGGACGAGUAGGUGUGGUCUGUUUUAUUCUCCCGGGUAGGGGUAAAUUUGUAGUUUUCGGAUAAAUUGUAGGGGUAUUUAUGUAAAUCAAUGGCUUUGAUGGUGUCACGUUUUGUGUGAGGAGAGGGGCACCGGGGACGAAGGUCCUCAGGGAUUAAGGAUCUUCUUCAGAAUUAAUUUGAAUAGAACUGGAAUGACCGGCAUCGGAACCGUUCAUUGACGUUAGUUUUAAGAAUUGACGGUCGGAUCGAAGUUUUACUGAUGCAGUGGCUGGGGAGGAUCCGAUUGCACCUGUGGCGUGGACAUGCCCGCUUUAAGUUUCCGAAAGGCAGCAGCGGAUUUGUACUCCAAAAUCACGUCACCCGAUGUUGACCCAUGAGAGGUGCAGUGGGGCCCGUCGCCUGAAGGGAAAUAAGUGGUGUGGUAUUUCUGGAGUAACAGAUUCGGCGUUCCUUUUCUUAAUUUUCAUUAAACUAUCGCACUCUUUUGGCUUUGACUCAACUGUGUAACCCGCCUCCGCUGCGCGGGACCCACACUUUGCUCGUGCCGUGCAUUCGAUGGCCUGUGGAUGUGGGUCUCGCCAAGCUGUGUGGUUCGGCGGAACACAUACCUGGGGAGGUCCAGGUGGACCCCGACUGGAAUGAGUGGGGAGCUUUGGUACGAUUACAAACGUUACCCGCGGAUAAAAUAAUGUUCACAAUAAAUAAGUAGGUUUAAAAAAUAUAAUUUUUAAGAGAAAACAAAUAUUUUAUUGACAAUAUUAAUGAUAAAUAUAAAUGAUGAUAAUCCUUUACUAGAUUUAAAAUAAUAUUAUGAUAAAUUUAGUUAUCUAAUAUGAAGUUAUUCGAGGUUCAAAAUAUCAAUAAUAUAAAUUUAUAAUAUUAAUAAGGGAUUAUGAGUAUACUGUAAGAUUUUAUCUUUUCAAUGGAUAUGAGUUUUAAAAGAUGCAGAAGUUAAAGGAGAUUUGCUCAUGUUCAUGUGGAACUAAAUGAUUUUAUCAAGUAUUUAAGGUACGUCAAAAUUAAAUAUACACCAAAUACAAAGAUACAAAAUUAAUAAUUUAUUUAAGUUAGCUUUCUCAUUAGUACUGAUAGGGGUAAUAAUGGCGACAUGACGUGUCACGACGUCGGGCCCACCUGGGCGCCACUCUGUCCGAGAAGGAGGGCAAUAAUGCUGACUCGACAUGCGCUGACAUCAUCCGCUCUCAAACAAUGACUUCGUCGUCGUCUAACCCCGCGCGCUUAACCAAGGCAGAGGAGGACAACGACCAAAGCUCGCCCAUACCCUGCGGCAGUUCGGUUCUCCACGCAACGUCUAUAGCAACGUUAGAUGCCAUCAGAGGUACGACCCUGCCCCCCGCAGGCAGGCACAUCAGGUAACACUAAACCACCCUAUAAAUACCCCCCGAGUUCAAAACGAAGGGGGAGGACACUUCUUCACCAGAAAAACUACCUUCCACAUCAUCUGACUUGAUCGUCGGAGGGGUCGGGCCAAGCUUCUGACCCGACCUGUGUGCAGGAAUGAAGGCGAGGUCGCACCUUCGCCACGCUGCGCGGAGGCUUCACCCCCGCGCUACAUUCCAUCCGGACAACCGUGACGGGCCACCCCGACUGCCCCGAGGAGCGCCGCGCCGGAUCCCCACGCAUUCGAACCCGAACCAAGCCGCAUCGGCCCCGAGGCCACGGCUUACGGUUGUUUCCCACGACAAGUACUACAUAGUCAACAUCAUUUGGUCAAAUAGAUUUGGAAUGUUGGCCUUAGACACAUCAUUUUCUCUUUAUAUAUAUAGUUUUUCUAACACUUGUUUCUGUCAAUAGCGAUUCAUACGGAUUAUAUGAUUAAGUAAUAGAAGGUGCGGUUAGAUUAAGGGUGUUACCGUACAUGAGAUGGUUGCACAAAUCUCAAGCCCAUCAAACGGUGCAUCCGGGGUGCAAAAUAUUAGAAACAAAUAUCUAAAAAGAAAAUACAUGUGUCUUAACCAUAGUUAUAUACCUCUGGUGACUUGAACUCAAACAUGGGAUUUAGGACGACACUUUGGUAUGGGUUAGAAUUCAACGUGAAGAAAAAGGAGGUGAUUUCAUAGAAGCUGAUAUGAUAAAAGACCCCAUUGACGGUAGUAGACAAUGAAUAAAGUGAUAAUGCUAACACACACUGCAUGCCACACUAAACAAGGAUUACAGAUGAGACUCCACCCAAUAACAAAGACUCACUGAUGACAUACUCCGAUAUAUUAUUCCCAUAGCAGCUAUUAUUACUAGUAACUCUUAAAUGGCAUCAAACCUCACUCAAAUGACUUCACUCCGAGGCCACGGCCGGCUCCGCUGCAGCCUCCUCGGCGGCGGCCGGUGCAGCGGCUUCUUCGGUUGCCGCCUCCGGCUCCUCGACCGUCGGAUCCGUGGUCUCCUCAGCUACGGGAGCGGCGGCCUCGGGUUCAGCCUCCGGCUUUGCCUCCUCGGUAGGCUCCGCUGCUGCCGGUUCGGCCUCGGUGGCUACGGGCUCGGCCGCGGGCUCUUCAGCCGGCGUCUCCUCAUGCUCUGCUGCUGCUGCUGCUUCUUCUGCUGGGGUUUCUUCUUCUUCUUCUUUGGGCUCGUCGACGGCCGGAGCAGGAGCAGGUUCGGCCUCGACGGCCGGCGCAGGUGCAGGUUCGGCCUCGACGACAGUAGCAACCGGGACAUCAGCCGGAACCUCAACGACAGGAGCUGAUUCGACCUGCAUGAAGACAACAGAAGGAGACAUUUAGCUCUAACUCGGCCGUGCAUCGGUGUGGAUGACGACUGAGCAUGCAGAUCCAGGAGCUCUUCCUAGGAAUCACAUCUUUCUAGCAGAUCUAAAGUAGAUGCAGGCAGAGUUCAACCCUCACUCCAUCUACAACCGAGUGUUCCCGAGAAGAGAGAUAACAAGUGAGUUCAUGCUCUCUUCAGGUUCGGAUAGCUACACCAGACAUGAUCGAACCUGAGAUCAUCGAUCUGAUCUCAAGUAAACCCCCUCCCCCCACACACACAACACAACCUACUCUUUUGCUGAUCUGAUCUGAUCUCUAGGCAGGAGGAUCAUGACAGAAGCCAAUUGCAGCUGAUGGCUCAUAGGACAAGGUCGUGGCUCACCUCAACAGAAGCCAUGGGAGAAGGUGAGAAGAGCUGAAGGAGAACAAGAGUGGAGCGACAAGUGAUCUACCAAAGCAGUGGGGUGGGAGAGGUCAUUGGGGAUGGAAGGGUAUUUAUACAGAGAUGCAAUGGCACUCAGAAUCUUUACAGACAACCAGCCACGUACGAUUGGCUGGAUCACACCAUUAGUUUACUCUCCCAUCUCCGGUCAUCCACGCACCUUUUGCCCAUCAGUGUGUGUGUAUUAUUUUGCGUGAUGCACUCCCAGCUAUAAUGGAUUGAUAUGUGCACUCCCUCCAUCUUUGGAUAUAUGCUACUGUGUUGGUAAUAUGAACAGAAAUUAUCUUAGUAAUUCGCAAAUUAUGUAAACGCGAUGAAUUAUUAUUAUUAUUGACUAUAGUAAACAAGAUUACAUAAAAAAUCUCAUACGAUUUUG